UACGAAGGGGUGCAAGCGUUACUCGGAAUUACUGGGCGUAAAGCGUGCGUAGGUGGUUCGUUAAGUCUGAUGUGAAAGCCCUGGGCUCAACCUGGGAACUGCAUUGGAUACUGGCGGUCUAGAGUGCGGUAGAGGGUGGCGGAAUUCCCGGUGUAGUGGUGAAAUGCGUAGAGAUCGGCAGGAACACCCAGGGGGAAACCAGCCGGACUGGGCAUCUACUGACGCUGAGGUGCGAGAGCGUGGGGAGCGAACCGG
rnacentral:rRNA from 1 species